GAAGCCGGAAUUGCUAGUAAUGGCAGGUCAGCAUACUGCCGUGAAUACGUUCCCGGGCCUUGUACACACCGCCCGUCACACCAUGAGAGUUGGGAAUACCCGAAGCCUGUGAGCUAACUUAUAGAGGCAGCAGUCGAAGGUAGAAUCAAUGAUUGGGGUGAAGUCGUAACAAGGUAUC
rnacentral:rRNA from 1 species